rnacentral:rRNA from 1 species
GAAAGUAAAGAAGGGCGUAUGGCGGAUGCCUAGGCUCUCGGAGGCGAAGAAGGACGUGAUAAGCUGCGAUAAGCUGCGGCGAGGAGCAAAUAUCCUGUGACCCGCAGAUUUCCGAAUGGGGCAACCCGGCAGGACCACCUGUCAUCCCGGGAAACGGGAAGCAAACGUGGGGAACUGAAACAUCUCAUUACCCACAGGAAAAGAAAAUAACAAUGAUUCCGUCAGUAGUGGCGAGCGAAAGCGGAAGAGCCCAAACCGGUUCUGUUUCGGCAGAGCCGGGGUAGAAGGACUGCAUACGACAAAGGAGCAGGUAGCCGAACGGUCUGGAAAGGCCGGUCAAAGACGGUGAUAACCCGGUAGGCGAAACCAGCGACAGCGACAGCAGUAUCCUGAGUAGUGCGGGACACGAGAAAUCCUGUAUGAAUCUGCGGGGACCAUCCCGUAAGGCUAAAUACUCCCGAGAGACCGAUAGCGAACCAGUACUGUGAAGGAAAGGUGAAAAGAACCUCGAACAGAGGAGUGAAAAAGACCCUGAAACCAUACGCCUACAAGCGGUCGGAGCCCCUACGUGGGGUGACGGCGUGCCUUUUGCAUAAUGAACCUACGAGUUACUUUUGCCAGCCAGGUUAAUCGAUUCAGUCGAGGAGCCGAAGCGAAAGCGAGUCUUAAUAGGGCGGUAUAAGUUGGCAGGAGUAGACGCGAAACCAAGUGAUCUACCCAUGAGCAGGUUGAAGGUUAGGUAACACUAACUGGAGGACCGCACCGGUAAACGUUGAAAAGUUUUCGGAUGACUUGUGGGUAGGGGUGAAAGGCUAAUCAAACUUGGAGAUAGCUCGUACUCCCCGAAAUGCAUUUAGGUGCAGCCUUCUGAAUAUAUUUAAGAGGUAGAGCGACUGAUAAGAUGCGAGGGCUUCACCGCCUAUCAAGUCUUGAUAAACUCCGAAUGCUUAAAUAUGAAUCAGAGGAGUGAGGGCAUGGGUGCUAAGGUCCAUGUCCGAGAGGGAAAUAACCCAGACCACCGGCUAAGGUCCCGAAAUAACGGCUAAGUUGAAUUAACGAAGUAGAAUUGCAAAGACAGCUAGGAUGUUGGCUUGGAAGCAGCCAUUCAUUUAAAGAGUGCGUAACAGCUCACUAGUCGAGGAGUUUUGCAUGGAUAAUAAUCGGGCAUAAGCCCUUUACCGAAGCUGUGGAUGUCGUAAGACAUGGUAGGGGAGCAUUCCGGCGGCGACGAAGGCCGUCCUCGAGGACGACUGGAGCUUUCGGAAAAGCAAAUGUAGGUAUAAGUAACGAUAAAGGGGGCGUGAAACCCCCUCGCCAUAAGACUAAGGAUUCCUGAUCAACGCUAAUCGGAUCAGGGUAAGUCGGGCCCUAAGGCGCAGCCGAACGGCGUAGCCGAUGGAAGAAACGGUAAAGAUUCCGUUACUGGAUAUAGGAGCGAUGUGGAGACGGAGAAGUGACACACCCGCCUGCCGACGGAAGCGCAGGUUAAAGGAAGUAGGUAAACGCCGGGUAGGCAAAUCCGCCUGGCGUGCCGAAACUGACAGUAUCGAGAGCCCCCGGGCAAUCGAAUAGCGGUGGUAAUCAGGCUCCCAAGAAAAUCCGCUAAGCAUAUUCUAUAUCCACCCGUACCCCAAACGGACACACGUAGUCGGGUAGAAUAUACCAAGGCGCUCGAAAGACUCACGGUUAAGGAACUAGGCAAAUUGACCCUGUAACCUCGGGAAAAAGGGUCCCCAGUAAGAUGGGGCGCAGAGAAUAGGUCCAGGCAACUGUUUAACAAAAACACAGGGCUGUGCAAAAUUUGAAGAUGAAGUAUACAGCCUGACACCUGCCCGGUGCCGGAAGGUUAAGAGGAGAGCUAAUCGCAAGAGAAGGCUUGAAUUGAAGCCCCGGUAAACGGCGGCCGUAACUAUAACGGUCCUAAGGUAGCGAAAUUCCUUGUCGGGUAAGUUC